CCUGAUUUCUGGCCAGGGCUCCUUAAUUGUGUCUCUGGGUAUAGUGGUCUUGGCACAGCAGCAGGAAGGGGAGCACCAAGGUGUGAUGUGAAUAAGACCACACACCACAGACAUUGCUGCACAUAUCUGCCAAGAGUCCUUCUACUUGGAUGUGUCAGGAGGCUAUCCCCAAACGCUGAUGUCACCAAGCCCACCUCACACCUAGCCGACAGGCUUCAGUACCCACUCAGCCUGACCGCAGUCUGGCCGGCUUCCUGUUUGACCAUCUUGGACAAACACUGAGAGACGGUCGGUAAACAUGGCGCAUCCACCUGUUAGUACAAUCAAAGCUCGAGGGCCGAACACAGAUGGGCACAGUUGGCAAUGUGGAAGCUUGGCCAUUCUAUGAGAGAAACCCCGCUGGCUGCACAAGGAGGGGGAGGAGGACUGGGGGGACUUGGAUGAUGUUUUCCUCGAUACUCGGCUGUAAUGCUGGCUUCUCCUUAGGCCUCCUGACUGAACAGAG
rnacentral:lncRNA from 1 species